rnacentral:lncRNA from 1 species
GAUGCAUUAAUAAAAUUAAACAUGCACAUAAAUAUAUGCAAACAAUCAGGAAAAUCACACAAUAAUUCCUAAAAUAACACAUAAUUAAAGACAAUACCUAAUUUUGGGAAUUAUUUUGGAGUAAUUCUUAUGAAGCAAAAAUUACAUGCUCACAGUUGCCCCUCUUUGUCCGAAAACAUGAAGAGUUUUCGUGCAAAAAUAAAGUGAGCGGAUACGAGAGAUUUUUGCCUGUUCGAACACUCCGUGGGAAGCAUUUUUUGAAAUUUUUGACCGAACCUCUGCUUCAAAGGUUUCCUACAUAUCCUUAGCUAUAAAGGAAUCAGGUCAAUGUAGUUCGGGAAGUUUUGGUAGCUGAGACUACCAUGAAGCUGCGGUUUUGCUGUUACUGCUGUUGCUGCUGCUGAUACUGCCUACUGACCUCCUUAUUACCCCAUGACAAAAAUGAAGAAGCUAGACUAAGCUAUGAUCUAUGCUUUACAAAGAUUUAUUUUCAAACUUGAUCUUGUGACUGAUGUUGCCUCGUUGACUUGUAUUUUCCUCAGAAGUUCCUUUGUGGCUGACUUGAAUGGUAUUCUUUGAAAUGCUUUCCUUUCUUCUCCAGGCGGGCACCUGAUUGCUGAACCCUUUAAAUGUCUUCCUUUGACUAUUGUUUCCUUUCCUCUGUUCCCCAGGCGGGCUCUUGAUUAUUUGAAAUUUGAAUUGCUUCUUCCCUUCGUUCUCCAGGUGGGCUCCUGAUUGCUGAGACUCGAAAUGUAUUCCCUUGUUCUCUAGAUGGGCUCCUGAUUGCUGAAACUUGAAUUGUAUUCCCUUAUUCUCCAGGUGGGCUCCUGAUUGCUGAAACUUGAACUGCAUUCUCUUGCUCUCCAGGUGGGCUCCUGAUUGCUGAGACUCGAAUUGUAUUCCCUUGUUCUCCAGGUGGGCUCCUGAUUGCUGAAACUUGAAUUGUAUUCCCUUGUUCUCU